rnacentral:rRNA from 1 species
AAUAUUGGACAAUGGGCGAAAGCCUGAUCCAGCCAUGCCGCGUGUGUGAAGAAGGUCUUCGGAUUGUAAAUCACUUUAAGUUGGGAGGUAGGGCAGUAAGUUAAUACCUUGCUGAUUUGACGUUACCGACAGAAUAAGCACCGGCUAACUUCGUGCCAGCAGCCGCGGUAAUACGAAGGGUGCAAGUGUUAAUCGGAAUUAAGGGGCGGAAAGCGAGAGUAGGUGGUUUGUUAAAUUGGAAGUGAAAGCCCCGGGGCCAACCUGGGAACUGCUUUCAUAACUGCUGAGCUAGUGUACGGUAGAGGGUAGUGGAAUUUCCUGUGUAGCGGUGAAAUGCGUAGAUAUAGGAAGGAACACCAGUGGCGAAGGCGACUACCUGGACUGAUACUGACACUGAGGUGCGAAAGCGUGGGGAGCAAAC